rnacentral:misc_RNA from 1 species
UUAAUUUUCAUUCGAAAAUAUUUUUUGUUCCAAACAAAGUUUAAUAAGUUUGGUCCACAAAGGGUUGAAUAAAUAGUUCAUAGCCUUUUUACGGGCUAGAACGUUAGAAUCUUUUAAUGAUCUUUCCGCAGGUUCACCUACGGAAA